UACGUAGGGGGCAAGCGUUGUCCGGAUUUAUUGGGCGUAAAGAGCUCGUAGGCGGCUUGUCACGUCGAUUGUGAAAGCCCGAGGCUUAACCUCGGGUCUGCAGUCGAUACGGGCUAGCUAGAGUGUGGUAGGGGAGAUCGGAAUUCCUGGUGUAGCGGUGAAAUGCGCAGAUAUCAGGAGGAACACCGGUGGCGAAGGCGGAUCUCUGGGCCAUUACUGACGCUGAGGAGCGAAAGCGUGGGGAGCGAACAGG
rnacentral:rRNA from 1 species